rnacentral:rRNA from 1 species
UAGGGAAUAUUAGUAAUGGGCGAAAGCCUGAACUAGCAACACCGCGUGUGCGAAGGAGGCCUUCGGGUUGUAAAGCACUUUUUGAGAGGAUGAGGAAGGACGGUACUCUCAGAAUAAGUCUCGGCUAACAACGUGCCAGCAGCCGCGGUAACACGUAGGAGGCCAACGUUAUCCGGAUUUACUGGGCGUAAAGCGCGUGUCGGUGGUUUGGUAAGUAGAGCGGGAAAGCUCCUGGCUCAACUGGGAGAGGGCGU